AAAUUGAGUAGACUAAGUGGGAAAAAAGGGAUGUUAGUCCCCUUUUUAUGGCCGAUUCAUUGGAUUGGGCCCCCAAAAGAUACCUUUUGGGGCCAUUGGCGUAGAGAGGGGGGAUCCGAUUUUCGGAUCGGCGCCGAAGGCGCCCAACCCUACUCGAUUUUUAUGAAAAACCACUCUUUUUAUUAGGAUUACUGGCUAAAACCGUACAAGUAAGGUAGUUUGGUUGGGGCGACCGCCUUCGAAAAAGUAUCGAAGGCGUACAUAAGAUUAAUCCGGGGGGGGUGUCCUUUUUUCACCCCCAAACAAACCGGGGGUAAUGCCCCAAAAAAGAUUAGUUUGACUGAGAGGGCUACAACCCGAACAGGCGCUUGGGGAUCGUUAGGAUCCCUGGGCCCGGUUUAUACCAAGGGGCCUAAUUGACCAGCGGGCUCCUUUUUAUUCCCGGGUCGAACCUAGCGGGUCAUAGUGAUCCGUUGUUAUAUUGUGGGAUAGACAACGAUCAACGAAGAAAAGUUACCAUGGGG
rnacentral:rRNA from 1 species